GCGGCCGUAGCUUAAAGGUAAAGCAUCAGGCUGUGGCCCUGAGGACUACGGGUUCGAGUCCCGUCGGCCGCCC
rnacentral:tRNA from 1 species